AUCGCCGGCAGAAGGUGAAGGGACUCUGCAAUGUUACCCCGAGCGUGAUUCGGGGUUACCGCUCCUGGCAGCGAAAAUUAACCCCGAGUCACACUCGGGAAUACAGUCAGGGAGGUUAAACAGCUGGCACCAAAGAAGCCCACCC